CCUACGGGAGGCAGCAGUGAGGAAUAUUGGUCAAUGGACGAGAGUCUGAACCAGCCAAGUAGCGUGAAGGAUGACUGCCCUAUGGGUUGUAAACUUCUUUUAUAUGGGAAUAAAAUGUUCCACGUGUGGGAUUUUGUAUGUACCAUAUGAAUAAGGAUCGGCUAACUCCGUGCCAGCAGCUGCGGUAAUACGGAGGAUCCGAGCGUUAUCCGGAUUUAUUGGGUUUAAAGGGAGCGUAGGUGGAUUGUUAAGUCAGUUGUGAAAGUUUGCGGCUCAACCGUAAAAUUGCAGUUGAGACUGGCAGUCUUGAGUACAGUAGAGGUGGGCGGAAUUCGUGGUGUAGCGGUGAAAUGCUUAGAUAUCACGAAGAACUCCGAUUGCGAAGGCAGUUCACUAGACUGCAACUGACACUGAGGCUCGAAAGUGUGGGUAUCAAACAGGAUUAGAUACCCGUGUAGUC
rnacentral:rRNA from 1 species